UUUAAAGUCUAAUCUGCCCUAUGAGGUAUUAAAUGGCCGCGGUACUUUGACCGUGCAAAGGUAGCAUAAUAAUUAGUUUUUUAAUUGAAAGCUGGAAUGAAUGAUUGGACGAGAAAAUAGCUGUCUCAAUUUAAUUUUAUUAGAAUUUUAUUUUUAAGUAAGAAAGCUUAAAUGUUGUUGAAAGACGAGAAGACCCUAUAGAGUUUUAUAUUUUGUUAAUUAUAGAUUUUUAAGUUUAAUUUUAUGUAUAAUUGAUAAAUUAUUUUGUUGGGGCGAUAGAGAAAUAAAUUUAACUUUCUUUUUAUUUAAACAUUAAUAUAUGAUUUUUUGAUCCAUAAUUUAUGAUUAUAAGAUUAAGUUACCUUAGGGAUAACAGCGUAAUUUUUUUUUAGAGUUCUUAUCGAAAAGAGAGAUUGCGACCUCGAUGUUGGAUUAAAAUUAAUGUUUGGUGUAGGUGCUAAGCAAUUAGGUCUGUUCGACCUUUAAAAUUUUACAUGAUCUGAGUUUAAACCGGCGUGAGCCAGGUUGGUUUCUAUCUUUAAUUAAUUAAGAUAUUUUAGUACGAAAGGACCAAGUAUUUAUAAUAAUUAUUUAUUUUUGAUUAAUAUUAG
rnacentral:rRNA from 1 species